rnacentral:rRNA from 1 species
UACGAAGGGGGCUAGCGUUGUUCGGAAUUACUGGGCGUAAAGGGCGCGUAGGCGGCUUCUCAAGCGUGUGGUGAAAGUCCGGGGCUCAACCCCGGAUCGGCCGUGCGGACUGGGGAGCUCGAGUUCUGUAGAGGCGGGUGGAAUUCCGGGUGGUAGCGGUGGAAUGCGUAGAGAUCCGGAAGAACACCGGUGGCGAAGGCGGCCCGCUGGGCAGAGACUGACGCUGAGGCGCGACAGCGUGGGGAGCAAACAGG